CUAUGCUAGAAAAAUCAAACGUUCAAAUAACAUAAUAAAAAUGUGAACAAUAAUACUCAUGAUUCUUUUUUCAAGAAUGAGGAAAAUUUCAAAUUAGACUUCACUUUUUAAAUUGAUAUCACAAAUGGCAUAGUUUGCAUAAAAAUCCGCAGUUUUCCCCCAGUCAUUGUUUUCUAGAAUCGUCGACCGAGGGACCUGUUUGAAAGAUAGCUAAAGCCGAAGGCGUGUCAUAGCGAUCGUGGGUGAGCCGGCUCGCGGGUCAACAUUUUUGCAGAGCGGAUGCUAAGCACGUGAACCGCGACGACGCCCUCCCGAAAUAGACAACGCCGAAUUUUACGACCCGGCGACGCUGUUACGGUUGGUUGCGUCACUGUUACGCCACGCUUUUCUUGUAUAAAGACCAGUUUGUUUCGAGUCCGAGGCUCAGAACGUCUACCGAAGAGCCACGGCUGCAGACGACUCGCCCCCUAAAGCGCGUCUUAAACGUUUACGAGCACUUUCAUUGAAACUCUUUGUCAAAUGAGAUCUUGUAUUUCCUCGGUUAUUCUCACAGUUCGGUAGCCCUUUCGUUCGCCUCCAAUUGACUGACUCUAAUAAAAGCAGGGAACGCGGUUCUCGGAUGGUCUGGACAGGCCACGUUCGUGGUGGGAGCAUCGACAAGAAAUCAAAAUAGAUUACUGACCGGCCGCAGGUACGAUUAAACGUCGAGGUUUCCGGUUGGAGUAAAACCAAUUCGGACGUGUUACACGAACGCGAAACGCGGUAACAAACUGCUGAGGCAGCUGACGCAGCUUCUUCUCAAAACCAGCUUCGACAGACGAAUUAUAAGAAUGUAAUACUUUGAUUCAAUAAAAGAAGAAAUAAAGAACCAAUGACUUGUUU